rnacentral:rRNA from 1 species
UACGUAGGUGGCAAGCGUUGUCCGGAUUUAUUGGGCGUAAAGAGCUCGUAGGCGGUUCGGCAAGUCGGGUGUGAAAACUCCAGGCUCAACCUGGAGACGCCACCCGAUACUGCUGUGACUUGAGUCCGGUAGGGGACCACGGAAUUCCUGGUGUAGCGGUGAAAUGCGCAGAUAUCAGGAAGAACACCCGUGGCGAAGGCGGUUCUCUGGGACGGUACUGACGCUGAGACGCGAAAGCGUGGGGAGCGAACAGG